UACGUAGGGUGCAAGCGUUAAUCGGAAUACUGGCGUAAAGCGUGCGCAGGCGGUUGUGUAAGACAGGCGUGAAAUCCCCGGGCUCAACCUGGGAAUGGCGCUUGUGACUGCACAACUGGAGUGCGGCAGAGGGGGAUGGAAUUCCGCGUGUAGCAGUGAAAUGCGUAGAUAUGCGGAGGAACACCGAUGGCGAAGGCAAUCCCGGGCCUGCACUGACGCUCAUGCACGAAAGCGUGGGGAGCAAACAGGAUUAGAUACCCGGUGU
rnacentral:rRNA from 1 species